CUGAUCCACCAGCCUGGUUCCUGGAAUAAAGGCCUGAGGGGCAGAACUACAGCCAACUUGCAGCUAAUAUAGGGCAAGACAUGUUGGUCAGAUUCAAGCUAAGAGGCAGAAUCAUCAGGAAUGAUGAAAAGGAUGCUGAACCAGAAGUUAUAAGAAGAUUGGUCAGGAUCAAAUAGUUGCCAGGAAGUAGGUCUCCGGCAACCACCAUUCCACUUUUAUAAAGCUCACUGACCUGGUUGUUGGCUGCAUUCUUGGCUCAUGGAUUCAGGACAACUUUUGAGACAACUUUCAGAUCCUUCUCCAACAUGACAGCUUGCUCCAUCCAAGUGUGUAAGACAAAGUGGUAAGACAGAUGCCUCCAACUUUUGUAACCCAAGCACAGUAGUGGCAACCCAUCAGUUUUGUCUUGUUCUAUUUAGAAGAGGCAAAUUAUUCAUCUCGGCCCCCACUGAAGGGGAGGGGAUUUUGCAAAGGAUUCUUAGGGGACAGCUUUGAAAGCUGCUGACCACGGACUAGAUGGACUUGCCUCCUAAUAGCUUUU
ensembl:lncRNA